GAUGAACGCUGGCGGCGUGCCUAAUACAUGCAAGUCGAGCGAACGGACGAGAAGCUUGCUUCUCUGAUGUUAGCGGCGGACGGGUGAGUAACACGUGUAUAACCUACCUAUAAGACUGGUAUAACUUCGGGAAACCGGAGCUAACACCGGAUAAUCUUUUGAACCGCAUGGUUCAAAAGUGAAAGACGGUCUUGCUGUCACUUAUAGAUGGAUCCGCGCUGCAUUAGCGAGUUGGUAAGGUAACGGCUUACCAAGGCAACGAUGCAUAGCCGACCUGAGAGGGUGAUCGGCCACACUGGAAGUGAGACACGGUACAGACUCAUACGGGAGGGAGCCGUAGGGAAUCUUGCGGAAUGGGCGAGAGCCUGAGGGAGAAACGCCGCGUGAGGGAUGAAGGUCUUCGGAUCGUAGAACUCUGUUAUUAGGGAAGAAAAUAUGUGUAAGUAACUGGGCACAUCUUGACGGUAACUAAUCAGAAAGCCACGGCCAACUAAGUG
rnacentral:rRNA from 1 species